UACCUGGUUGAUCCUGCCAGUAGUUGUAUGCUUGUCUCAAAGAUGAAGCCAUGCAUGUGUAAGUAUGAACUAAUUCAGACUAUGAAACUACGAAUGGCUCAUUAAAUCAGUUAUAGUUUGUUUGAUGGUAUCUACUACUCGGAUAAUCGUACUAAUUCUAGAGCUAAUAUGUGCAACAAACCCCGACAUCUAGAAGGGAUGCAUUUACUAGAUAAAAGGUGGGCGCAGGCUUUGCCUAUUGCUUUGAUGAUUCAUGAUAACUCGCUUAAUCGCACGCCCUUUCUACCGGCAACGCAUCAUUCAAAUUUAUGCCCUAUCAACUUUCGAUGGUAGGAUAGUGGCCUACCAUGGUGGUGAUGGGUGACGGAGAAUUCGGUUUUGAUUCCAUAUAGGGAGCCUAAGAAACGGCUACCACAUCCAAGGAAGAUAGCAGGUGCGCAAAUUACCCAAUCCUGACACGGGGAGGUAGUGACAAUAAAUAACAACACCGAGCUCAUUGAGUCUGGUAAUUAGAACGAGUACAAUCUAAAUCCCUUAACGAUGAUCCAUUAGAGGCAAGGUUGGUGCCAGCAACCGCGGUAAUUCCAGCUCCAAUAGCGUAUAUUUAAGUUGUUAUAGUUAAAAAUCUCGUAGUUGGACCUUGGGUUAGGUCGACCAGUCCGCCAUUGGUGUGCACCAGUCGGCUCAUCCCUUCUGUCGGUGAUGCGCUCCUGGCCUUAACUCGCGGGGUCGUGCCUCCGGCACUGUUACUUUGAAGAAAUUAGAGUGUUCAAAGCAAGCCUACGCUCUAGAUACAUUAGCAUGUGAUAACACCACAAGAUUCUGAUCCUAUUGUGUCGACCUUCGGGAUCGGAGUAAUGAUUAACAGGGACAAUCAGGGGCAUUCAUAUUUCAUAGUCAGAGGUGAAGUAUGGUCACAACGCUGAAACUUAAAGGGCACCACUACGAGUGGAGCCUGCGGCUUAAUUUGACUCAAUAUGGGGAAACUUACCAGGUCCAGACAUAGUAAGGAUUGACAAGCUUAGAGCUCCUUCUUGAUUCUAUUGGUGGUGGUGCAUUGCCGUUCUUAGUUGGUGGAGCGUUUUGUCUAGUUAAUUUCGUUAACGAACGAGAUCUCAGCCUGCUAACUAGCUAUGUGGAGGUAACUUUCCACGACCAGCUUCUUAGAGGGACUAUGGCCACAUACGCCACGAAAGUUUAAGGCAAUAACAAGUUUGUGAUGCCCUUAGAUGUCCUGGGCUGCACGUGCGCUACACUAAUGUAUUCAACGAGUCUAGCCUUGGCCGACAGGCCUAGGUAAUCUUUGAAAUUUCAUCGUGAUGGGGAUAAAUCAUUGCAAUUGUUAGUCUUCAACGAGGAAUUCCUAGAAAGCGCGAGUCAUCAGCUCGCGUUGACUAUGUUCCUGCCCUUUGUACACACCGCUCAUCACUCCUACCGAUUGAAUGGUCUGGUGAAGUGUUCGGAUUGCAACGACGUGGGCGGUUCAUUGUCGGCAACGUUGUGAGAAGUCCACUGAACCUUAUCAUUUAGAGGAAGCAAAAUAAAAUUAUCUGGAAAACUUUGAUUGUCGGGCUUUAGAGUAUGAAUCAUCU
rfam:Lupinus angustifolius cultivar Tanjil chromosome LG20, whole genome shotgun sequence.